rnacentral:misc_RNA from 1 species
GAAGUGCGAUAAGCAAUGCGAAUUGCAGAACCGUGAGUCAUCAGAUUUUUGAACGCAACUGGCGCCGGCUGGCUCUCCAGUCGGCAUGCUUGUUUCAGUGUCUUUUUCUCUCCUCACCCAAAUCUUAAUGCGAGAGAUACCCUUCUCUUGCUAAGCAGGAAAGCACUCUGCGCUCAGCGAGCGACUUCGGCUAGUCCGAUGGUCGCACUCAAUGCAGCAGUCACAUUGCUUACAAUGUGAACUCAUUGAGAGCUGAGGCAGCGCAGCAUCCGCUGCCAGUGCUUAGCCAAGCAAACUUUCUUUGCAUCUGAAAUCAAGCAGGACCACCCGCUGAACUUAA